rnacentral:rRNA from 1 species
GACGAACGUUGGCGGCGUGCUUAAUACAUGCAAGUCAACUGAAGCAGAGGUAGUAAUAUCUCUGUGGAGGUGGCGCACGGGUGAGUAACACGUAGGUAAUCUGCCUUCAGGUCUGACAUAACCCCGAGAAAUCGGGGCUAAUAGCAGAUGAUGCAGCGGCUUGACAUCAAGACAGUUGUUAAAGCUUCGGCGCCUGAAGAUGAGCCUGCGUCUGAUUAGCUAGUUGGCGGAGUAACAGCCCACCAAGGCUACGAUCAGUAGCUGGUCUGAGAGGAUGAUCAGCCACACUGGAACUGAGACACGGUCCAGACUCCUACGGGAGGCAGCAGUAAGGAAUAUUGCUCAAUGGGAGAAAUACCUGAAGCAGCAACG